rnacentral:rRNA from 1 species
UUUCCGGUUGAUCCUGCCGGAGGCUACCGCUAUUGGAGUUCGAUUAUGCCAUGCGAGUCGCGAGAAAUUAGAUUCUCGGCGUACCUGCUCAGUAACACGUGGGUAACCUGCCCUAUGCUGGAUAAUAACCUCGGGAAACUGAGAAUAAUGAUCCAUAGUUCACUACGCCUGGAACGGUGAGUGGAUGAAAGCUCCGGUGGCAUAGGAUGGGCCUGCGGCGUAUCAGGUUGUAGGGGGUGUAACGUACCCUCUAGCCCUCUACGCGUACGGGUGUUGGGAGACAUAGCCCGGAGAUGGACUCUGAGACACGAAUCCAGACCCUACGGGGUGCAGCAGGCGCGAAAACUUGGCAAUGCGAGAAAUCGUGACCAGGGAACUCCAAGUGCAUCGGGUAAGACCGGUGCUUUUCUUGACUCUAAAUAGGUCUUGGAAUAAGGGGUGGGUAAGGACGGUGCCAGCCGCCGCGGUAAUACCGGCGCCUCAAGUGGUAGUCGCUUUUAUUGGGCCUAAAACGUCCGUGGCCGGUCUGAUACGUUCGUGGGUAAAUCAACCAGCUCAACUGGUUGAAUUCUGCGAGGACGGUCAGACUUGGGACCGGGAGGGGUGUGGGGUACGCUCAGGGUAGGGGUAAAAUCCUGUCAUCCUGAGCGGACCACCUGUUGCGAAGGCGCCACACUAGAACGGAUC